rnacentral:rRNA from 1 species
CAAAGAUUAAGCCAUGCAUGUCUAAGUAUAAGCACUUUAUACUGUGAAACUGCGAAUGGCUCAUUAAAUCAGUUAUCGUUUAUUUGAUAGUACCUUACUACAUGGAUACCUGUGGUAAUUCUAGAGCUAAUACAUGCUAAAAACCCCGACUUCAGGAAGGGGUGUAUUUAUUAGAUAAAAAACCAACGCCCUUCGGGGCUCCUUGGUGAAUCAUAAUAACUUAACGAAUCGCAUGGCCUUGCGCCGGCGAUGGUUCAUUCAAAUUUCUGCCCUAUCAACUUUCGAUGGUAGGAUAGUGGCCUACCAUGGUGG